rnacentral:rRNA from 1 species
UACAGAGGGGGCAAGCGUUGUUCGGAAUUACUGGGCGUAAAGGGCGCGUAGGCGGCCUGUUAAGUCGGACGUGAAAUCCCCGGGCUCAACCCGGGAACUGCGUCCGAUACUGGCAGGCUUGAAUUCGGGAGAGGGAUGUGGAAUUCCAGGUGUAGCGGUGAAAUGCGUAGAUAUCUGGAGGAACACCGGUGGCGAAGGCGGCGUCCUGGACCGAUAUUGACGCUGAGGCGCGAAAGCGUGGGGAGCAAACAGG